rnacentral:lncRNA from 1 species
CUGAACCUUAGUUCAGGCCUUUUGUGAUUAAAACAUUCGUCGUCACAGAGACUGGAGCCAGAGUUGUUAGUUCUUUCUCAGGAAAAGAAAUAACCAUUAUUCAAAAGCAGCAAUAGGCUUUUGAUGUUUCUACAUCAUCCAGCCCAGGUCGUCAGGACUGGAGAGCAGCGAAGAAUUAAGGGAGAAGCUGCAGCCAAGAGUCAGGUGUUCAUUGUGUUGCCCACCCCCUGGAUCAUAUCCCUUGACAAUCCGCCGGCAAUGGGAGGCUCCUGCUUAGUCUCUGGUGCAGCUGAAG